rnacentral:rRNA from 1 species
UACGUAGGGGGCAAGCGUUGUCCGGAUUUAUUGGGCGUAAAGAGCGUGUAGGCGGCCGCACAGGUCCGUUGUGAAAACUGGAGGCUUAACCUCCAGACGUCGAUGGAAACCGUGCGGCUAGAGUCCGGAAGAGGAGAAUGGAAUUCCUGGUGUAGCGGUGAAAUGCGCAGAUAUCAGGAGGAACACCUAUAGCGAAGGCAGCUUGCUGGGACGUUACUGACGCUAAGGCGCGAAAGCGUGGGGAGCGAACAGG